UACGUAGGGACCGAGCGUUGUCCGGAUUCAUUGGGCGUAAAGAGCUCGUAGGCGGCCACUCAAGUCGAAUGUGAAACCUCGAGGCUUAACCUGGGAACUGCAUUCGAGACUGCAUUGCUAGAGUAUGGGAGAGGGAAGUGGAAUUUCCGGUGUAGCGGUGAAAUGCGUAGAUAUCGGAAGGAACAUCAGUGGCGAAAGCGACUUCCUGGACCAAUACUGACGCUCAUGUGCGAAAGCGUGGGGAGCAAACAGG
rnacentral:rRNA from 1 species